CUCGCAUUCUGCGUUAUUCAAAACUUUAAAGAAAUAAAAUUGGAAAACAUUUCAUAAAAAUAAAUCCAAAUCACUUAUUCACCGGAUUUCCAUAGGCUCGUUGCAUCACUCUCCAUCUUCUCCUCCAUCCAUGCCCGAGGUAGAAAUCCUUCAAUCUGUAGAGAUAGGAUUAGACCCAUGAGUUGAAAAAUUCAAUAGGUGCCAUAGGUGCAUUCGUGAUCAAGCUAUACAUUUCAAAAUAUUAACUUUAUAACUUUUCAUACAUGUCAUACCCGGAGGCACCAUUUGACAUGAAGGGGUAUGCCGUACCCAAGGGCACCAUUUGACAUAUGAACAUUUCUUCAACAUAGAGGGGUAUGCCGUAACGGAGUACCAUUUGACAUACAAACAUUAACAUGAAUCGAAACUUAUAACUUAACACGAUUAAACACAUUGCACCUCUGUCUACCUUGAUUGAUGCUUUUGAAACUUUGAAAACUUCGAUUGAGAACUUCGAUGAAAUUUGAACGUUGAAAGAAAUGCACUCCUUAGAUGUUUGAAAACCGUUGAGAAUUGAUGCUUGUAAACACUUCUUAAAUUUCUAGGAAAAAUAGUUUUCCUCCCUCUCUUUUUCUCUCUUGGAAACUCUUUUUUUAGUAUAUAAAAGCUCUUGCUUUUGGUGUGAGAAAAAAUGAGUGAAAUGAGGUCUCUAUUUAUAGGUAAAUAAUCCAUAACUUAAAGCAAAUGAAGGGUCAAAUUUCAUUUAAGAAAGAAAACAUGAGUAUCAUUUAAGUUUGAGGUUAAAUACUUCAAUUUAGUGGGGGUUUUUUAUUGCCAAAAACGUGAGUGGCCCUUUAAGAAAAUAAUUGAUGAAAAUAAAUAUUUAAAUUCUAGUGAAAAACGAGAAUUUUUAUUUAAGGCAGUUUCGGUCGAUCGGUUGUAGUCCGGUAGACACUGUACAGUUUUCAAUGUUUCAAUCAUAACUUCUUUUCCCGAUAUCCGAUUGAGGUAAUUCAAAGUGUGUUGGAAAGCUAACUCAAAGAGCUAUAACUUUUAUUUAGAUAUAAUUUUCCAAAUCAAAUGUUUCCUAUGUCGAAAAUCAGUCUCAAAUGAGACUAAAAAUUUGAAGUAUAUUUUAGUCAUCCAAUAUUCAUAUCUUAGUGCCACUAAAGUGUCUAGAAUUAUUUGGGGUUCUACAUCCCCCACACCUUAAUUAAAAUUUCGUCCUAGAAAUUUACCUUCUAAUUGGGCGAAUAGUAUUGGAUACUUAUCUUUAGCUUCUUCUUCUUUUUCCCAAGUGGCUUCUUCUACGCCGUGAUGAUUCCACUGUAUCUUAACCAGCUGAAUCUCUUUAUUCCUUAGUUUAUGCACUUUUCGAUCCAAUAUCUUGAUUGGUAGUUCCUCGUACGACAAAUCUUUCUGUACCUCCAAGGUUUGAUAACUCACUACAUGAUUAGAAUCAUGUACAUACUUCUUUAUCAUCGAUAUAUGGAACACAUUGUGCACUGCCGAUAAUUCAGGUGGCAAAGCUAGUCGGUAAGCCACAUUUCCGACUCUAUCAAGUAUCUCUAAAGGUCCGAUAUACGGGGGGUCAUAGCUUGCCUUUCUUUCCAAAUCUAAGUACACCUUUCAUCGGUGCUACUUUCAGAAACACUUUAUCCCCAACUUGGAAUUCUAAAUCCUUCCUUCUUGUAUCUGUAUAGCUCUUUUGUCGAUCCUGUGCUGCCUUUAUUCUUGCACGGAUCUUAUCGAUUAUCUCGACCGUCCUUUCAACUGUUUCUGGUCCUAAAACUCUCUUCUCUCCGACUUCAUCCCAAUGAACAGGGGAUCUACAUCUUCUACCAUAGAGAGUUUCGUAUGGUGCCAUUCCAAUAGUUGCUUGGAGACUGUUAUUAUAAGCGAACUCUACUAAAGGUAAGUAUGACUCCCAAUUACCUCCUAGAUCCAAAUCACAUGCUCUCAGCAUGUCUUCCAAAGUUUGGAUGGUCUUUUCAGACUGACCAUCGGACUGAGGGUGAUAUGUUGUACUAAAGUUCAACUUCGUUCCCAUAGCUCCUUGUAGACUUUUCCAAAAUUUAGACGUGAACCUUAGGUCUCUGUCAGACACAAUGGAUACAGGUACACCGUGUAAUCUCACAAUCUCUUUAAUGUACAACUGUGCUAAUUGGUCUAAAUUGAAUGUCAUUUUCACUGGAAGAAAAUGAGCUGACUUCGUUAGUCGAUCCACUACUACCCAUAUAGCAUUAUUUCCUCUUGUUGACUUCGGGAAUCCAACCACAAAGUCCAUCGUGAUAUUUUCUCAUUUCCAUUCAGGUAUAUCUAGUGGAUUUAACAAUCCAGCUGGUUUUUGGUGUUCUGCCUUAACCUGUUGACAUACCAUGCACUUCUGCACGUACAGCCCUAUACUUCUUUUCAUAUUUCUCCACCAAAAUGUAUCUCGAAGAUCUCGAUACAUUUUCGUAUCACCGAGAUGUGCGGUGUACGUGGUGGAAUGAGCUUCUUUCAAUAUCUCGUUUCUCAAGGCUUCAUCCUUAGGCACGUAAAUUCGUCCUCUAAAUAUCAGUGUCUGAUCCUCAGCUAUUUCAAAGUCCUUUUUCUUAUCGGUACCAACUUCAUUCUUAAUCUUUUGCAAAAAUGAGUCUUUAUUUUGUGCUUCUAUAAUUCGAUCUCUAAGAGUAGGUCGAAUUAUUAAAGUUGUUGGACGAGUAGUGACUUGUCCUGGUGUGGUAACUACUUUGAUCUGCAACUUUUCCAAGUCCUUGACUAACUCCACUUGAGAGGUGGGUAGUGACGUCAAUUGUCCCAUUGAUUUUCUACUUAGAGCGUAGGCCACAACAUUAGCUUUACCCGAAUGGUAGUGAAUAGUGCAGUCGUAAUCGUUCACCAAUUCCAACCAUCGUCUUUGUCGUAUAUUCAAUUCCUUCUGUAUGAAGAAAUACUUGAGACUUUUGUGAUCUGUGUAGAUAUCACACUUCCGUCCAUAUAAGUAAUGUCGUCAUAUCUUCAAAACGUGUACUACCGCUGCAAGUUCUAAAUCAUGCGUCGGGUAAUUCUGCUCACGUUUUUUCAAUUGUCUUGAAGCAUAAGCUAUCACUUUUCCAUUCUGCAUUAGUACACAUCCCAAUCCUCGCUUGGAUGCGUCGCUGUGUAUAACAAACCCUUCCGUACCUUCAGGUAUUGUUAAUACAGGUGCUGAUAUCAACUUCUGCUUAAGUCUCUGGAAACUUUGUUCGCAUUUUUCCGUCCAUUGGAAUUUUACUCCCUUCCUUGUAAGCUGCGUCAUUGGUUCAGCUAUUUUGGAGAAUCCUUCUGUGAAUCUCCUAUAAUAUCCAGUCAAUCCUAGAAAAUUUCGUAUAUCGCUAGCAUUUGUUGGUGCUUUCCAGUUGGUUACUGCUUCUACUUUUGCUAGAUCCACUUCAAUCCCUUGGGCAGUAACUACAUGUCCAAGAAAUCCAACUCGUUCAAGCUAAAACUCGCACUUCUUGAAUUUGGCAUAUAGCUUCUCCUUGCGUAAUACCUCUAAAGCUAUUCUCAAGUGCUCUUCAUGUUGCUCCUUACUCUUGAAAUAUAUCAGAAUGUCACCAAUGAAAACUAUGACAAACUUAUCCAAGUAUUGAUGAAACACUCGAUUCAUCAAGUCCAUGAAAACUGUAGGUGCAUUGGUUAGCCCAAACGGCAUCACCGUAAACUCGUAGUGUCGAUAUUGAGUUCUAAAAGUUGUCUUAGGUAUAUCCUUUGUCUCUACUUUCAGUUGAUAGUAUCCCGAUCGUAAGUCGAUCUUGGAAAAUACCUUAGCUCCUUUCAGAUGAUCUAACAGAUCCUCGAUCCUCGGGAGUGGGUACUUAUUCUUGAUGGUUAAUCGAUUUAUCUCCCUAUAAUCGAUGCACAUCCUCAUGCUUCCAUCUUUCUUCUUUACAAACAAUACCGGCGCACCCCAUGGAGAUACGCUUGGUCGUACAAAGCCCAUAUCUAGGAAUUCUUGCAACUGCUUCUUUAAUUCUUGUAGUUCCUUUGGGGCCAUUCGGUAUGGGGCCUUAGAUACUGUUGCUGCCCCUGGAAUUAGGUCUAUGGUGAAUUCCACUUGUCUAUCAGGUGGAAUACCAGAUAGAUCUUCUGAAAACACAUCUACGAAUUUUCGUACUACUGGUACAUCUUCAACCCUUAUCGUCUCUUGUUUCCCUCAUGAGAUACCUACUAGAUAUCCUUGACAUAUUUCUUUUCUCAAUAUCUUCUCAACUUGUAAAGCCGAUACUAGUCGAAUAAGGGGUUUUGUCUUCAUUCCAAGGAACGAAAAUGGUUCCUCUCCUGGUUUCUGAAAUGAUACUUCCAUUUCCUUACAUCGGAUGGUGGCGUAAUUACAACCUAACCAAUCCAUGCCUAGUAUUACAUCAAAAUCCUUCAUUUCUAUCAUAUAUAGGUUCACUUCCAUUGGUUUUCCCUCAACUUCGAUACUUACUGACUUGGCUAUUCUAUUAGUAUUCAAAGGGUUGCCCGAAGGAAUACUAACUUCUAUUGUACCUUCCGACUUAUCACAGGUAAUACUAAAUUUAGCCAUAAAAGUUGUUGAAGCAAAGGAGUGUGUAGCUCCUGAAUCAAACAAUACAUAAGCAGGUGUAUUGGCUAUUAGUAAAGUACCUGCUAUAACAUUAGAGUUUUCCUCUGCAUCCUGUUGAGUCAAUGCAAAAACUCGUGCUUUCCCUUUCUGGUUAUGGUCGCUGUUAUCAUCCUUCUUCUGGAUAUGUGUGGGACAAUCCCUAAUGAUAUGUCCUGGCUUGCCACAUCGGAAAUAGACAUUUUUCCUUUGUAAGCACUCGCCAUGAUGUGUCCUUCCACACUUAGAACAAGGCGCAAUAACAGGCACAAUGCUUUUACUGGCAUUGGCUCCGCCAUUAGCUUUCUUGUUCUGCCACUUGCCUUUUCCCUUGUCUUGGCCAUUCCAUUUCCUCUUUCCCAUGUUACCAUUGUCCGGUUGAUUGAACAGUUGACCAUGUUGUUCGGUGCUAGUCUUCUGGUACCAAAUAGCAUGAGCUCUUUCCAGCAUUUCACAGUAUGUGGUGAACGAUGGGACAUAAGUAUCAUGCUUAUAUCCAAGUUCAGCCAUUGUUCAAACCUUCGUACCUUCGUACCUUCUUAUCUUCCGUAUCCACCAAAUGUGGAGCAUACCUUGAAAGUUGAUCAAACUUCCUCUCAUACUCAGUCAGGGACAUAGUCUUUUGCUUGAGUUGGAGGAAUUCACUUUCUUUGUGAUCCCUCAAGGACUGGGGAAAGUACUUGUCCAUUACUUCCCCUUUGAAUUGCUCCUAAGUUAAUUCUGCUUGUUGCUCGGGGGUCCUUGUCCUUGACAUUGAGUCCCACCAGUGACUUGCAUCACCGAAGAACAUGAACUCAGCACACUGGACUUUCUGAGCGUCCGUGCACCCUAUCAAUCAGAAUAUACGCUUCAACUUGCGAAGCCACUCCUUGGCUGCAAGUGGAUCAGCUGCUCCGUUGAAGGUAGGGGGCUUGUGCNNNNNNUUUUAUUUCUUGACAUAUGGGAAGCUAUUACAAGGAUUUAAAUCUAAUCCCUAUAAGUUCUACGGAUCUUCUUUGGUGGAGCUUCAUCUUCGGAGGAGUCUUCCGCCUCAGGUCCGGACUCUAUGUCCAUCUCAAUCUGUGGCUCAAGCUUAGGAUCAUUCUCUAAAUUAUCCUUGGGUUCUUCUUCGGGAUCUUCUUCCUCAGCCAAAGGUUCCUCCUCAGGCUCCUCAUGGACUAUAUCAUCCCACAAAUCAAUCAGGGCAUGGCAAUACCUCUCAAACUCGAACAAGUUUGGGUUGCCUUCUAACAUUUCAUCCCUAACCGUGACUCCCAUAUCUCCCCAUUGAGGUGGGAGGGAGUGUAUGAGGUUAUUUAUGGCCUCAAUAUGCGUGAUCUCCAUACCAACAUUAAUCGCCGUCAUGCAUCUCUCAUAGAUGUCAUACACAUGUUCGCUAAGUGGUCGGGUCGGAUCAGUUACAUAGUUUUCAUAGGAAUGAAUAGCAAUUCUACGGUUCAAUGCUUCUCUAUAUGCCCUAGCCGUUCUACGAGCCAUAUCUGUUGCAUUUUCACAUACAUCAUACUUUUUCUUUGCUUAAAGAAAACAUGCAAAUAUUUAAACUUUCAUAUCAUGCAAUUCCCUUUAAGCCCUUAGCUUUUGCCCAAGUCCAUUACAUAUCUUUAAAUAAUACAUCUCUAAAUUAUAUCAAAGUAUCAUAAUAUAAACAUAAUCAUUAACUUUAAACAUAAACAUACCUGGGCCAUAGGAUGAGGUUGAUGGAUGGAUACACAAUACCAUGGAAUACCUUAAACUUUUCAUUUUCUUUUUUGUUUUUAAAAAAAAUAUACUUGGUCUACAGAACCGGCACAACCUUGCUCUGAUACCCCGUUAAAACGCCCCGACCCCUAGUGGACCGGAACGCUACUUACUUUACUUAGCUUAACCGGUGGUUUAGUAACAAGUGUAUACGUUUUAGCGGAAGCUUACAUCUUCGGAUAAUAAUUUAAAUAACAAUACUUCAAAUACUUUAAACGAAAACACUAAAUCAUUUUUUUAAAACAACAAAAUGUAAUUUAUUUGAAGAAAAUAUAACUUGUUCUCGCAUUCUGCGUUAUUCAAAACUUUAAAGAAAUAACAUUGGAAAACAUUUCAUAAAAAUAAAUCCAAAUCACUUAUUCACCGGAUUUUCAUGGGCUCGUUGUAUCACUCUCCAUCUUCUCCUCCAUCCAUGCCCAAGGUAGAAUUCUUUCAAUCUGUAGAGAUGGGAUUAAACCUGUGAGUUGAAAAACUCAAUAGGUGUUAUAGGUGCAUUCGUGAUCAAACUAUACAUUUCAAAAUAUUAACUUUAUAACUUUUCAUACAUGCCGUACCUGGAGGCACCAUUUGACAUGAAGGGGUAUAUCGUACCCGAGGGCACCAUUUGACAUACGAACAUUUCUUCAACAUAGAAGGGUAUGCCGUACCGGAAUACCAUUUGACAUACAACCAUUAACAUAAAGGGAUAUGCCGUACUGGAGUACCAUUUGAUAGACAAACAUUAACAUUAAUCGAAACUUAUAAUUUAACACGAUUAAACACAUUGCAUCUCUACCUACCUUGAUUGAUGCUUUUGAAACUUUCAAAACUUGAAUUGAAAACUUCGAUGAAACUUGGACGUUGAAAGAAAUGCACUCCUUGGAUGUUUGAAAACCGCUUAGAAUUGAUGCUUGGAAACACUUCUUAAACUUCUAGGAAAAAUAGUUUUUCUCCCUCUUUUUUUCUCUCUUGGAAACUCUUUCUUUAAUAUGUAAAAGCUCUCGCUUUUGGUGUGAGAAAAAAGAGUGAAAUGAGGUCUCUAUUUAUAGGUAAAUAUUCCAUAACUUAAAGCAAAUAAAGAGUCAAAUUUCAUUUAAGAGAGAAAACAUGGGUGCCAUUUAAGUUUGAGGUUAAAUGCUUCAAUUUAGUAGGGUUUUUUUAUUGCCAAAAACGUGGGUGGCCCUUUGAGAAAAUAAUUGAUGAAAAUAAAUAUUUAAAUUCUAGAGAAAAACGAGAAUUUUCAUUUAAGGUAGUUUCGGUCGACCGGUUGUAGUCCGAUUGACAAUGCACAAUUUUCAGUGUUUCUAUCAUAACUUCUUUUCCCGAUAUCCGAUUGAGGUAAUUCAAAGUGCGUUGGAAAGCUAACUCAAAGAUCUACAACUUUUAUUCAGAUAUCAGUUUCCAAAUUGAAUGUUUUCUAUGUCAAAAAUUAGUCUCAAAUGAGACUAAAAAUCUGAAGUAUACUUUAGUCAUCCAAUAUUCAUGUCUUAGUGCCACUAAGGUGUUUAGAAUUAUUUGGGGUUCUACACGAUGUCGUUGGAUUGGAGAUGGGUGACGACGACACUUCUUCUAUAUAUAUAUAUAUAUAUAUAUAUAUAUAUAUAUAUAUAUAUAUAAUAAGUUCUGAUUGUGAAAUACUAAACAUGCCAUCUGAUUCAUGAAAUGGAAAUUUCAAAUCUAUUAGAAUAUGUAAUUUCCACUUAAAAAUAGUACUCGGUUGUCCAACUGCAGCAGAUUUUUAAUUCUUUCUUUUUUUGUUCAAAAGAAGUGGGAAAAAUCUGAAUCGAUGAGACCACCUAAAAAGGGGAGAAACUUGUGUUGCGAUUAAGUGCACAAUUAUGUGCAAACAUGGCGUAAAAUUGUCUAUGAUACAAUGACUAUAUUCUCACCCACAAGACUACGAAGUAGACUACCCAAAGAGUGAGUCACUUUGUGUAAGCAACAGUAAAAUCCAAUCGACAAAUCCAACAAACAUAUAACUAUAUACAUACAUGCAUACGUUAUAAAUACACACAGAGAGAUACUUGGGAGUUCCCAUCUUCAUUUUCUUGGUUCUUGAUAAAAAAUAAAAAAUAAAAAACCUUUGUCGAAGCUUUGUCGAAUCGCUUUGGCGCUAGGCAAUGGUUAAUUCUUAUACCAGCCACUAAGAAAGUGCGGCAAUUACAUUAAUAUCCCUACCUUAUUCGGUUCCAUGUCGCAUUUCCAAGGGUUUUCCUAAAGGGCUUGCUGUUUUUCUUCAUUUCAUUUUACACCAUAAAAAAUUGAUUGCAAGGAAUUUGAAUGAAUAGUUUUAUUUGUUCGUCAAAGUUGAUAAUAUAUUGCUGUGAAACCAUUGAAUAACUCUUUUAUAAAGAAAAUUGGUUGACGCAAUCGCAACAAUGAAAUAUGUAUUUCUUGUAAAUUUCAUUUUAUAUAAUUUCAAGAUGUCUAUGUUCAACACUUUUUACUUGUAGUUAUUAUUUUUGGUUUUUUACUUAUAUUUUUGUUGAACAAGUGAUCCCCUGAAUUUUUACAGUCAACACAUACAUAUUAGUCAACAUAUGACGGGAUUUGCAUGUGCAACUAAUAAAACUUAUAAGUCUUAGAAUAUUAAAAUUUUCGACCUGGAAGUGUGCGGGCUUUUCAUGUGUUACAAAACUUGUAGUCGAUUUUUGUAGACUAGCAAGAUGCAAUUUACUUGGGCAUCAUUUUUUAUUCAUAAAAUUCUAAAUCAAAAACUUGGAAUGGGUCGAUACUUUCGAUUAAGGAUGUCAAAACCAGCCAUAUCGAUUAUGUAGGUAGGUAGCUCGAUCUAUGUAAGGGCUUUAAUUGACACGAUCCUUAUAUGAUCUAUGAUAUUUUAUUUGAUACUUGUUCAUUUGAAUUUAUUAUUAUUAUUAUUAUUUUUAAAUAUGAAAAGCGGCUAUGCAAAUUCGGGCUUAAAGGUUUAACUCACAAGGUUUUUGCUCUGAUGAACUCUCAAAACAAUUUAUUAGGAAAAAAAUAACAAAAUAUAAUGUUUAUCUAGUUGAGAAACAUGUAUGAAAAUAUAGAUAAAAUCAAGCAAACAAAACUUUGAAUCUAAUUACAUUAUAGUAUUAUUUUAUUCAAUUGGGUGACCCAAUUUUGGCUACUUGCCUCUCGAAAUUUCUUGGAAAAUAAUAAUCUAACCAAAUCAUAGCCAAUUCAUAACUGCUGUAAACAACAUCACAUAAAGUAAUUUGAUACAUUACACAACAAUCUUUGAUGUUAUUAUUUGAGAAGCCUUUAAAAAAGUUAAUUAGACCCCUCAAAUGCUCAUCACACUCUGAACGACUUGAUCUAACAAAUCGAUACUAGAUUUAUUGAUAAUAAGAUUUAAUUUUACAUAUAACAGUCUUUAUCAAAUAACUAGUACAUCAGACCGUACCUUGAUUUAAUUUGAUUUCUUAAUCGGAACCAAGCUUGCGGUCGAGGAAGUAAUCGCUUUGGUGUUGAUGGUGGUGAUUUUGGGCUGUUUUGGCUCGUCUGAUUCAUCGGUAUUUCGGGAUUUCACCAGAGGGAUUUGCUGUUGAGUAGCAAUGUCUCGGCCGGCGAACUUUUGAGGAGGAAAGAAGAAAUCAGUGGGGAAGAAUUUGUACUGAAGUCCAGCCAUGGGUGUAUAGAAAUGAGAUAUUUGUGUU
rnacentral:lncRNA from 1 species